UCAAAACCAGCCCGAUGCAAAAAUUCAUAUGCCUUUUUGUCAGUUUGCUACAGUUUUGCGGCUAUUUGUAAUCGUUUAGAUCGUUAUAAAAUAAAAAGAAGUUAAGCUCUAGUUUGCAGCCAAGACGUACAUUUUGAUUUAGGCACUUUUAAUUGUAAACAGCUGCAAAAAUUCUGCUACACAAACUUUAAAACGCAGACAAAAUCAGCGGGGACUACGAACGUGCCUCUUAAUAUGCACAGCGCAAAUUUGAAUAAUUUAAUACCGUCUUUUGGCUCUGAAGGCGGAAAAAUUAUUGCGGCUUAUGUUUCAAUUAAGCAAUUUUUGUACAUCAGGUGCGUUUUAUAUACGCCAGACUUUCAGACGGGUAAACAAACCUAUAGAGAACGCAGAGGGGGACAGCAAUGACAACUAAGCGCACCAACGUUAAACCCUUUAAUGCUUCCAGACGUCAGCUGUAGAUAGAAGACAUAAUAAACGAAAAGAAAGAAAUCUUUUAUAGGCAUCAAGGCUGACAAAUUUUUCCAGAAAUAUUUAAAAUAAGAAGUACCAGAAUUUAAAUUAGAUGUUAAGUUUUAAUCUUAAAUACACCGUAAAUAAAACCGUCUUAAAGAGGCUUCAAAUGGUACUACGGUACCAUUUGAGCUUUGAUAAAUGGCGACCACACAUUAAACUGCCUACAGUUGGAAGGAGUCCAGGAAAAAAUGCUGGCAAUUGCGCAAAAGAAUCGGCCUUCGGCGUAAGUUAAUGAGCGAGGGGAAAAAAGAACACAUUAUACACAAAUUAAGCGUGCAUGCUUAGAGCGAAUAUUUUAUAGAACUGGAAACCGACAGCAGCGAAAGGCACAGUCAAACACAUUGAUAAUUGAUGAUUUGAACAUUGUUCAAAUAAUAUGAACGUUUGUGUGGACUAAACAGGCUCACAAGAAAAAAUACAAAUGCAACUUGUUGUAUAUGUUAUAAACCUCCAUUAAAAAGAGCAUUCAAUAUUCUAAAAUCUAAUUUUCAUUUAAAACAAUAAUAAUAAUAAUACCGUUGAGCCGCAUCAGUCAACACAUGCGAAA